GCUUUUUAAAACUUUUUAGAAUGAAUUCUUUGGUUACUUUUUUUUAUCGGCUGCUGAUAAAAAAAACAAUGAAAAAAAUGUUUACAUUAAUAAAUGUAGCAAAAAAAAAGAAAGAAAAAAAUAGAAAGGACGCUUCACCAUUCUUAAAAGACACAAGAAAAGGAGGGAUGGAUGCCUGCUGGGAGGGAUGGAUGGGUGCCUUUGAAGAAUAUGUGGAGAGAAGUGGAUGAAUAAAGGGAGGAUGAGUUCAAAUGAGGCUAAAGUGGAUGAUUCAUCCCCUCUAUAUUGUCUCUUUACCUCCCUUCAACUUUAUUUCUUUCCUUCUCAUCUAUUAUUUUUUAAUGUAUUAUUCACUGUACCUCUCCAUCCCACCUUUUGUUUUUCUUUGUUCACCUGCUACAACUCUAGCAUUUCCUCCAUUUUUCCUGCAUCCCAUCAUUUGAUGAAUGUACAAAGAUGUUCUCAGUAGACAAAGAGAAUACGGAGGUUUUAAACGGGAGUUAAGCGUUUGUAUUACGGAAUGUUGCACCCCAAAAGCUGAGCUAAACUCAGUUACCCCACACAUUAAAAGGCUGAUCUACAUGUUUAUUUAGACUUUAUUUAGGUUAAGCUUCUUUAAAUUAAAUCGGCCUCUGGUUGGUUAAAAGAAAAUGUUUAAAUACUCUUUGAGAAAGUCAGAAAAUCUUUGGUAAAGGUUCUCAACAUUGUCAUGGGAUUCCUCACUUACCUCUCUUUACAUGUCAUCUGACUCAAAAGGAUUUCUCAGUAGACUGGAGACAAAUGUAUUUUCAGAUGCCAUAAUGUUUCACUAAUUCCUUUGAAGUGAAAUCCUUGGGUUCUUUUUAAGUUGAAAUAAAGAAACCUUUAUUGAAAUUUGUUCAUUCAUACUUUCUGUACUCUAAGUAUGCCGCAGAUAUCUGUUCUGUUGUUCAUUUGAGAGUUUAUACAUUUAUAACUAAAUUAUAAAUAGAUGUUCAUGUUGGGGUGAGAGGAAUCUCGGGGGAACUUUUAACCCGAUCAAUCGAAGCGGGACACGCAUGACAUGGCCUUGGGUUACUUCAGCAAUGACUUUAUGUUUUAGGUUUGAUGGCAUUUCAAAUCAGCGUUUACAAUGGGAGGCCUUAACAAGUGCUUUCAUGUUUUUGCCUUUGUCAGAAUUUGUUAUAGAAACAAAUGACGCUGUUGCUUGCACUCCAUUUAUUAUGUUCUUAUUGCCAAGGAAGGGACAACACACACCCACACACAUAAGAAACACACAAACAGCGGUACGGAUCGAGUGUACAUUUUGGGGUGUACAGUGUUAACAUAGGCCAGUUUAUUUUUGGCCACACACACACACACACACACACACACACACACACGCAUGCAUACACACAGCAAGUAUGUACAUUUAAUCAGUAUAUUUUAGUAGAUUUUUGUCUCUGUUCAGUUGAAUGGCUUUUUAUAGAAAAGAAAUGGGAUUUUUUUUUUUUUUAGUGUCAUAAACUGCAAAAACUGGUAGGUGAUCACUGAUGUCAUUAAUUAAUAAUCCGCUCACAAUGUUGUUUUCCAUAUUGUUAGUGAAAAUAUUGUCAAGUAAGGUGGCACAAUGUGGUGUAAUUCUGCUAGGCCUGGUUAUUUUAGGAUGUAAACUCA
ensembl:lncRNA